rnacentral:miRNA from 1 species
GAGAGUGACGAAGAAAAUC